rnacentral:siRNA from 1 species
ACGUCCUUCCAAACCCGUUCCGC